CUUGGUCAUUUAGAGGAAGUAAAAGUCGUAACAAGGUCUCCGUUGGUGAACCAGCGGAGGGAUCAUUACCGAGUUUACAACUCCCAAACCCAAUGUGAACGUUACCAAACUGUUGCCUCGGCGGGGUCACGCCCCGGGUGCGUAAAAGCCCCGGAACCAGGCGCCCGCCGGAGGGACCAACCAAACUCUUUUCUGUAGCCUUCGGGCGUUAUUUCUUACAGCUCUGAGCAAAAAUUCAAAAUGAAUCAAAACUUUCAACAACGGAUCUCUUGGUUCUGGCAUCGAUGAAGAACGCAGCGAAAUGCGAUAAGUAAUGUGAAUUGCAGAAUUCAGUGAAUCAUCGAAUCUUUGAACGCACAUUGCGCCCGCCAGUAUUCUGGCGGGCAUGCCUGUCCGAGCGUCAUUUCAACCCUCGAACCCCCUAGGGGGUCCGGCGUUGGGGAUCGGGAACCCCUAAGACGGGAUCCCGGCCCCGAAAUACAGUGGCGGUCUCGCCGCAGCCUCUCCUGCGCAGUAGUUUGCACAACUCGCACCGGGAGCGCGGCGCGUCCACGUCCGUAAAACACCCAACUUCUGAAAUGUUGACCUCGGAUCAGGUAGGAAUACCCGCUGAACUUAAGCAUAUCAAUAAGCGGAGGA
rnacentral:rRNA from 1 species